GUGGUGGCUCAGUGGUGGAGCACUUGCUUAGCAUAUGUGAGGCCCUGGGUUCAAUCCUCAGCACUACA
rnacentral:tRNA from 1 species